UUGAAAUUCGCUGCAGAUUUAGCUAACUUAGCACUUGAAACGUUGACAUUUUAUGUUCCUCUCGCUGCUAUUGUAAGAGUCGAGAGAAUAAUUAUAGUUUUGGCCGCUGGCCGAACGAGGAUUUUGUUUUUGCAACGGACGCCAGAAGAAAUCGGUUGGAAGCUGAACUGGCGUGAGCUGUGAUCGUAGUACCAGUGUAUGUGUGUACAGAAUUUUGAUCUCUGGCCGGGUCUUUUUCUUUUCUUGGAUUUGUCUUUCUGUGAAUCCCGUGAUCUGCAAGGAUUCUUCUG